rnacentral:tRNA from 1 species
AGCUCCGUGGUGUAAAAAGCUCAUUGAAUUGCAAAUUCAAGGGUGUAGGUUAAUUACCUGCCGGGGCUU